AUAAUAACAGCGUCCCUUUUAAAAACACGAGUUAUUAUUUCUAGUUGUUUUGUGUCUGCGAUUUUUUACAUUUAAAAAGAACACGCAGAAAGACUCAUGUUACUGUCAAGAAAUUCUGCUUCAUCCACUGUCCAAACAGAGCCUUUCCCUCCAUCAACACGUACAAAGCACUUAUGGAGGCUUAGGUUGUGCCGGACUGCAUUCUACAUGUGUGGGGGGAUUUGCCAGUAUCCUGGAGGUAGCAUGUCAGAUGAGGCUGUGUUUUGUGCAUGUAGAAUGCUCAAACUCUGACAGGACUGCAGGCUUCCUGAAGGAGUACUGGACUGCUUCAAUCUUGGGCUAGCCUGGAGUCAAAGAUCAUGUUGGGCAAUUACUCCUUAUCCAUUUAAAGAAUAUUUUACCAUGAGUACUGUAUUAUAUCAUUGAUACUUCAUCAAAUGUGCUUACAUCAAAAAGAUGCAGGUACAUAGAGUGUAGCCUCUGCUUUUCCAGAACCAACUGCAAUAAGUACACAGCAUAUCGGCG